rnacentral:rRNA from 1 species
UACGUAGGGUGCAAGCGUUAAUCGGAAUUACUGGGCGUAAAGCGUGCGCAGGCGGCUAUGUAAGACAGGCGUGAAAUCCCCGGGCUUAACCUGGGAACUGCAUUUGUGACUGCAUAGCUAGAGUACGGUAGAGGGGGAUGGAAUUCCGCGUGUAGCAGUGAAAUGCGUAGAUAUGCGGAGGAACACCGAUGGCGAAGGCGAUCCCCUGGACCUGUACUGACGCUCAUGCACGAAAGCGUGGGGAGCAAACAGG